AAGCGGUGGAGCAUGUGGUUUAAUUCGAUGAUACGCGAGGAACCUUACCUGGGCUCAAAUGUAUGUUGACGUAUUCUGAAAGGGAUACUUCUUCGGACAAUAUACAAGGUGCUGCAUGGUUGUCGUCAGCUCGUGCCGUGAGGUGUCGGGUUAAGUCCCAUAACGAGCGCAACCCCUAUCAUUAGUUGCCAUCAGGUAAUGCUGGGGACUCUAAAGGAACUGCCUACGCAAGUAGUGAGGAAGGCGGGGAUGACGUCAAAUCAGCACGGCCCUUACGUCCAGGGCUACACACGUGCUACAAUGGCCGAUACAGAGGGCAGCUACCUGGUGACAGGAUGCAAAUCUCCAAAGUCGGUCUCAGUUCGGAUCGGAGUCUGCAACCCGACUCCGUGAAGUUGGAUUCGCUAGUAAUCGCGCAUCAGCCAUGGCGCGGUGAAUACGUUCCCGGGCCUU
rnacentral:rRNA from 1 species